GUGAACGCUGGCGGUGUGCCUAAGACAUGCAAGUCGAACGGUGUGCGUAGGUAGCACUAAGAUCAUAAAUUUUUUGUGGUUUUGGUGCUAUCUACUUACGCAGUGGCAAACGGGUGAGUAUAAAAUAGGAACGUACUUCGAAGCGGGACAUAGCCCCUCGAAAGAGGGGGUAAUUUCCCAUACGCCUACGGGUGAAAGACGCAAGUCGCUACGAAAACGGCCUAUUUACUACCAGCUAGUUGGUGAGGUAACGGCUUACCAAGGCUAUGACGGUUACCGGCUCUUAGCGGAGAGUCCGGCACAAUGGGACUGAGACACGGCCCAUACACCUACGGGUGGCAGCAGUUAGGAAUUUUGCGCAAUGGACGAAAGUCUGACGCAGCGACACCGCGUGGAGGAUGAAGACCUUAGGGUUGUAAACUCCUUUUUAGCGGCCAUGAAGGCCACUAGAAUAAGUAGCUACUAACUACGU
rnacentral:rRNA from 1 species